CAAAGAUUUGGUUUAGUGGUUAGAAUGUUCAACUAGGAUCAAAAAGGUCAAGGUUCUAGUCUCUUAUCUAUGA